CUCUCUAGAAGUCCUACAUUCCUCUUAGACAUACAACACAUAGUGACAAGAGAUGAUGAAAAGGCUGAAGUACUUAAUGCCUUCUUUGCCUCAGUCUCUAGCAGGAAGACCAGUUGUUCCCCUGGUACUCGUCCCCCUGAGCUGGGAGGUAGGGAAAGGGAGCAGGAUGAAGCCUUCAUAAUCCAUGAGGAAAUGGUUAGAGAUCUGCUACUGCACAAAGAUUUACACACAUCUAUGGGGCCAGAUGGGAUCCACCUGUCACUACUGAGGGAGCUGGCAGAAUCACUUCCCAAGCUGCUUUCCAUCGUUGAUCAGCAGUCCUGGCUAUCAGGGGAGGUCCCAGUCAAUUGGCAACUAGCAAAUUUGACAGCCGUCUACAAGAAAGGCCAGAAGGACAAUUCAGGGAACUGCAGGCCUGUAGGUCUGACCUCAGUGACGGGGAAGUUCAUGGAGCAGAUUGUCUUGACUACCAUCACGGAACAGUUCCAGGACCACCAGGUGAUCAGGCCCAGUCAGAAGUUAUUUAUCAAAGGCAGGUCCUGCUUGACAAAUGUCAUAUCGUUCUAUGACAAGGUGAUGCACUCAGUAGAUGAGGGAAUGGCUGUGGAUGUGGUCCACCUGGAAUGCAGUAAGGCUUUUGACACCAUUUCCCACAACAUUCUCCUGAAGAAGCUGGCUGCUCAAGGUUUAGAGCUUCUUUGGAUUAAAAACUGGCUGGGUGGCUGGGCCCAAAGAGUCAUGCUGAAUGGAGCUAAAUCCAUUUGGAGGUCAGCCACUAGUGGUGACCCCCAGGGCUCAGUAUUGGGGCCAGUUCUCAUCUUCAUCAGUGAUCUAAAUGAGGAGAUGGAGUGCACCCUCAGUAAGUUUGCAGACAACACCAAGUUAGGCACAAGUAUUGGUCUGCUCGAGGGUAGGAGGGCUCUGCAGAGGGACCUGAAUAGGCUGGACUCAUGGGCCAAGGCCAAAUCUAUGAAGUUCAACAAGGCUAAGUGCUGGCUCCUGCACUUGGGGCAGCAGAGACACCCUGAUCAGGCAGGUUGUUUUCCCAAGGUGAGGCUCAUCCCCUGUACACCAGGUGUGCUGGCCCCUGCAAUGUGGAGGAUAUCCGAAAUGUGGAUUCCCAAAUGUGGGAACCUUGGCUGCAUACUUUGUGGUAGUGAGGGCCUGCAUUCCCAUGUUCCCUUGCAAUAUUUGAGUGCACACAUGCAGAGUGACUAGGGAGGGCAGGAAGCAGAUGGCUCUCUACUCUCUCUUCUGGGAGCAAUAUGGAGUGGCUUUCUAGUGAGACAAAAAUUGUGUCCACCUGUUGCACCUGCUGGGCUGAGAAACCCAGACAGGGGGGCCACG
rnacentral:lncRNA from 1 species